rnacentral:rRNA from 1 species
UGCACGAAAGUGUGAUAAGGGGACCCUGAGUGCUCAUCUUACGAUGGGCUUUUGCCAAGAGUAAAUAUCUUGGCGAAUAAGUGGUGGGUAAGACUGGUGCCAGCCGCCGCGGUAACACCAGCGCCACGAGUGGGAAUCAUGUUUAUUUGGCCUAAAGCGUCCGUAGCCGGCAAAGUAAAUCUUUUGUGAAAUCAUCAGGCCUAACCUGAUGGCGUGCAGAAGACACUGCUGUGCUUGGAACCGGGAGGAGUCAGAAGUAUGGGGUGGGGAGCGGUAAAAUGCGAUAAUCCAUCUUAGACUACCUGUGGCGAAGGCGUCUGACUAGAACGGAUUCGACGGUGAGGGACGAAAGCCAGGGGAGCGAUCCGGAUUAGAUACCCGAGUAGUCCUGGCCGUAAACGCUGUGAGCUAGGUGUUGCAUAUUCUACGUGAAUAUGCAGUGUCGAAGUGAAGACGAUAAGCUCACCGCCUGGGAAGUACGGUCGCAAGACU